rnacentral:misc_RNA from 1 species
GUGGGGAACUGCCGAACCAUUACACACCACUAGGGCCUUUUAAGAAUCUCCAAAGUGCCACCUCACCAACUUCUUAUACUACUGUUGUGGAUACAAAAAGCACUAAAAUCCUUCUGUUUGAGUAGCAAUACUUUAUUUAUUUACAAGUUUGAAAUUGUAACCAUGUUAUUGUGCUUGAUAUACCUUUCUAUAAUUUACUUUCAGUCUUUGUUGGACUGAUAAUGAUGUAUAUUUCUUAUUAAGAACUUCAUGCUUGUUAUCA